rnacentral:rRNA from 1 species
UGGAUAUCUGCCUUUUGGUUCGGAAUAACCCCGGGAAACUGGGGCUAAUACCGGAUGGUUCCUUCGGGAUAAAGAUUUAUCGCCAAAAGAUGAGUCCGCGUCCGAUUAGCUAGUUGGUGAGGUAAUGGCUCACCAAGGCGACGACGGGUAGCUGGUCUGAGAGGAUGGCCAGCCACAUUGGGACUGAGACACGGCCCAGACUCCUACGGGAGGCAG